rnacentral:tRNA from 1 species
GGGUCCAGCUCAGUGGUAGAGCAUGUGCUUAGCAUGCACAGGGUCCUGGGUUCAAUCCCCAGUAGCUCCA